rnacentral:rRNA from 1 species
CGGGGAUGGGCUCGCGGCCUAUCAGCUUGUUGGUGGGGUGACGGCCUACCAAGGCGUCGACGGGUAGCCGGCCUGAGAGGGUGGUCGGCCACACUGGGACUGAGAUACGGCCCAGACUCCUACGGGAGGCAGCAGUGGGGGAUAUUGCACAAUGGGCGCAAGCCUGAUGCAGCGACGCCGCGUGGGGGAUGGAGGCUUUCGGGUUGUAAACCCCUUUCGGCGCGGGACAAGGCUCCGUUUGGCGGGGUUGAGGGUACGCGUCAAAGAAGCGCCGGCUAACUAC